ACUCUAGUACUGACUCCAAUCCACAUGUGUUGAGGUGGAUUGAAGUGUAAAUUAGUUUAAGUUAUACCUCAAUCCACCUCAAUUCAUGUGGAUUGAGGUAAAUACUAGA
rfam:Zea mays cultivar B73 chromosome 3, whole genome shotgun sequence.